AGUGAACGCUGGCGGUGGGCCUAACACAUGCAAGUCGAACGGCAGCACAGGAGAGCUUGCUCUCUGGGUGGCGAGUGGCGGACGGGUGAGGAAUACAUCGGAAUCUACCUUUUCGUGGGGGAUAACGUAGGGAAACUUACGCUAAUACCGCAUACGACUUACGGGUGAAAGUGGGGGACCGCAAGGCCUCACGCGAUUAG
rnacentral:rRNA from 1 species